UAUAUCUAUAUAACUUAUACAACACCUAGUACAUGCCACUUUCAAUUAAGAAAGAAAACAUCACCAAAAAUUUGCUGGAGUCGGGAUCGUUCAGAUGCUGACCGAGAUACUAGACUCCUAUUAACCUGCGCACGGAAACAACCUCACGCUGAGUAUUCCAUACUCAGUGGUAUUACCAUAAUUCAAAUUAUAAUAGCAAUAAAGAAUUUUAAUUACCAAACAUGUAACUAUCUAAUUUCACAAAUAUCAAUUCAUUCUUAAACUUUUAUUAAUUAAUAAUAACAAUACAAUUUUUAACUAUUCUUCAAUUUUCAUCACAUAUUACAUGUAACAAUUUCAAUCACUACAUGAACAUUAAGUUCAUGCCUUUCAUUUUCAAUCUCAAUUUCAAUCCAUUAUUCAACUUUUUCUUUUCUUUCAAUAUUUCAAUAAUAUAAUCAAUCAAUUUAUUUUAAAUUUCUCAUUUUAGAUGUUCACCCUAUUAACAAAUCCGGACUUUGACGGAUACACGGAUUCCAACCCAACACACCAGUACGGCACAUUGUGCCUAAAAAGGUACACAGUACCUGAUCAAUAUACGACACAUAAAGUGCCUAAAACGACACACGAGGUGCCUGAUACGACACACGAGGUGCCUGAAAUACGACACAUAAAGUGCCUGAUCAGUAAAGCCGGCAAAUUCCCGUACACUUCCAGAUCCUAUGGCAUGCCAAUUAUAUCCGACUUAGCCCGACUAGUUAAUAGGGUAUUUCAAUUCUCAAUUCACUUUCAUUUCCAUUCCAAGAUUACUUUUCAAUUAAAAUUUUCACAUUCAAAUCAAUUUACAAUUCAAUUAUACAUACACAUUCACCAUUCAAUUCAAUUCUCAUUCAACUCAAAUAUCAAUACUUACCUUAUAAUUCACUUAUUAAAUAUAGAAUUGAUAUAAAACAUUUAAUAAAAAGUAAUUUGAAUUAUAGUAAUACAAACCGUGAAUUUCUCGUUUUAAUCCUCGAUAGCUUUCUCCUUUCCUUUGUGCGCCGAUGUCUUGGGUUCUUUGUUAACUACGAAAAUAAUAAUAAUUUAUAAUCAUCAAUACAACACAAUUCAAUUUAAUCCAUGAGCCUAAACAUGCAAAUUUAACCAUUUUUAUACAUAUAAUUCCACUAUUUACUUAUAUGUUCAUUCAAAGCUGUCUACUUGAGUCAUUGUUACUAAAUAAUAUAUAUCUUGAGCUAGAAAACUCCAAAUUAAGAUCCACUAAUUUUUCCUGAAACUAGACUCACAUAUCUUCUUACCAUAAAAUUUUUAUAAUUUUUGGUUUAGCCAAUAAGUACAGUUUAUUCUUUAAAUUUGCCCCUGUUCUGCUGUCAAACAGUUCUGACCAUUCUUCACUAAAAAUUGAUUAUCUCCUUGUACAAGAUUCGAACGAUGUUCCCGUUUAAUUAUAUUGAAAAUAGGUUCAAUAAGGAUUUUAAACAUAUAAAUUCCAACCCAUAAUUAUUUUUAUACAAUUUUUAAUGAUUUUUCAAAGUUAGAACAGAGAAACCCGAAUUCAUUCUGACCUUGUCUCACAAAACUUAUAAUAUCUCAUGAUCUACAAUUUCGUUGCUUACACUGUUUCUUCUAUAAGAAACUAGACUCAAUAAGCUUUAAUUCCAUAUUUUUUUCAUUCUCUAGUUCAAUUUAUUCAUUUUUUUGUGAAUUUUCAAAAUCAGAACACUACCACUGCCCAAAACUGUUUUGUGAAAAAUGUUAAUAACCAAAUUUACAACACCAAUUCACACUUUAUUUCUAUUCAAAUUUCAUUUAAACUCAAUUUAGCUAUUAAAUUUUCAACAUAUUUUCCUAAUUUUAAAUUUUUCUCAAUUUAGUCCCUAAAACACAUAACUUAUAGUUUACUUUACAUUUCAAUCUCUAUUCUAACUUAAUUUCAUUCAAUUAAACCCCUAUUUCAUCAUUUUGCUCAACAUGAACUUUGUUUAAAAAUCUAAAAACUUCUAAACUACUAACUUAAUUCAAUCAAAACUUUGUUUUAAUACUUUUAGAACAUCAAAACUAAGAGAAAAGGACAUGAUUGAACUUACCAAUUAAACUCCAAGCUUCAAAAACCCUAUUUCCCCUUUUCUCUCUUUUAUUUUCUUCUUUCCUUCCCCUACUCGAAUGCUUUCUGUUCUCUGUUCU
rnacentral:lncRNA from 1 species